UACGUAGGCGCAAGCGUUGUCCGGAAUUAUUGGGCGUAAAGAGCUCGUAGGCGGUCUGUUACGUCCGCUGUGAAAACCUCGGGGCUUAACCCCUGGCUGCAGUGGAUACGGGAGACUAGAGGUCAGGUAGGGGAGAAUGGAAUUCCCGGUGUAGCGGUGAAAUGCGCAGAUAUCGGGAGGAACACCGGUGGCGAAGGCGGUUCGCUGGGCCUUACCUGACGCUGA
rnacentral:rRNA from 1 species